rnacentral:lncRNA from 1 species
AAAAACAAAACAAAAACAAAACAAAACAAAAGAAAAGAAAAAAACAAACAAACAAAUUCAACUAUGCCGUUCGAAUAAUAACUAUUUCCUUUUCUGAGGAAAUAAUUCGAAUCAUUAUUUCCUUAGAAAGAACAUUGCGUGAUGGAAAUAUUAGGCAUAUCGAAGGAAAGAAUCCGUGUGGUGUGGCGGCAUGUAUAUAUUAGCCCAACAAAAUUCGGCCAAGCCCAACAAUAUUACAUGGGUCGACGUGGACAACCUCGAGUUUUCUUUUAAAUUAUAUUGUUCUUUUCUUACUAAAUUUAGAAUGAUUUUGAACUUAGAAUUAUGAAAUGAUUCACGCCAGAGAAUGAAAACGAAUUUAUUUCAAUUCCAACAAAAUAAUUUACAAAAACUUUUGUGAAUAUGUAAGUGAUUUAAAUUCUUAUGCAUUAGAUAUAUAUUUAAAUUAAGUAUUUGAGCAUAUACGACAGGGCUGUCUAUUUAGAAAAACUGAAAUAAAUAUGACAAAUUUAUUUAUUGAUUCACAAAGUUUUUAAUCGUCGAGUCAUCUUACACACUUUUUGCAAACACUGACUGCUGAGUUCGGUAAGAAUCGAACUCAAAAACAAGAAGAAGAUUGGAAAGUUUGAAGGAGAAGAAAGAAUUACUACUUUUGUGUUUAUUUUUGAACGAGGAAUAACUAAUAUCUUUACACUUGAAUAUUUUUCUCUAUUUAUAGGCUACUUCCUAAACCUAACUAAACCCUAAUAUCAAGUGCCCAUUAAUGUUGUAAGGUCCUUGGCCCAAAUCCCGUUACAAUCUGUCAGAUGAAAUCCCGUGGGGAAAACACCCAAAAAGAAAAAAGAGUAUUUAAUCUAGAUAAAAUAAUUAAAAAUACAUAUAUCUUUUAACUUCUAUGUCUGACAAUUGCAUCCUCAGAUUUGUUUUCUUUUAAUUCUUUAUCUUUGAAUUGUGUCCUCAGAUUUGUUUUCUUUCUCAUUGCAGCCCUGCCAGACUCGGAUUUAUAGUUACUUCAAAUCUGUCCAAUGUGACUUUUAAACCUGCGACAAGAUCAAAAUAAUACGAAUAUAAUAGCUUGAUUUUAGUUGUGCAUAUCUUAUUAUUCAGACCUUUCUUUAGAAUAACAGGAAUCCUCAAUUUCAUCAUCAUCAUCACUUACCAUCACCAAUACUUUACUCACUUACUCUUCUUACACAAAAGAAAGAAACUGUGUACAUAAGGGUCAUUAGACCAUCUCCAACCAUUUACACUAAAUCCAAACCCAUUUUACAGUAUAUGUCACUUCCAACAGUAAUUCUUCUCCAAUUAUUUACACCAAAUUCAAACCCAAAAGAAUAUUCUUUAAAUAUUCUCUUUCCACUUACUUUUUAUACUUCUUCAAUCAUACCUAUAUAUUUCUUUCAAAUUAUACAUUUGCCCCAAUUUUUUAAUUAAUAAUUUCAUAUUAAAAUAAAUACUAUACAUAAAUUAAUUAAUUAUUUAUUAUUAUUAUUAUUAUUAUUAAAUAAGCAAAAAAAUACUAAACUUUAUUAAUAUUGUUUUAAAUAUUCUUAUAUUAUACAUUUUAAUAUGUCAUGUAAUUANGUUGAUGUUCGGACGAAAUUUGUUACCUUUAGCAAGUAGUAUUGGAUAUCAAUUUAUAUGAUGAUGGAGCCAGACCUUCAAAGAUAAGGGGCGGCAUAUCUAUAUAAUAUAUAAAAGAGGAAUUUUCUCUCUCCAUUUUUUACCUCCAUUUUUCUCUCUCUUCUUCCAUCAUUUUUUUAAUUAUAUUUUUUUUUAUAAUUUUAAUUCUUUUCUAAAUAUUGUCAAAUUUGAUUUAUAACAAAAUAUUCAAUGUGCAUCGUAAGCUUAAAGUCGUUAGAAGAUCUUUAAUGGUAUAAAAAUUAUCAAAAAUGAAUUUAAAACGAAUAAGUUACUAAAAUUUUAAAAUAUUUUAUUUCUUUUUUCUUUGUUAAAAUUUUACAACUUUUUAUUUAUGUUUGUGUAUGAAAAUAUUUAUUUAUUUAUUAUUAUGUGAAAUACUCUAUGAUAAUAACGUGUAAUUAAUUUUAUUAUCAAAUAAUUUAUUAACUAUUAUUAUUAUUAUUAUUAUUAUUAUUAUUAUUAUUAUUAUUAUUAUUAUUAUUAUUAUUAUUAUUAUUAUUAUUAUUAAAUAAGAAAAAGAUACUACAAUUUAUAGAACUCAAUAUUCACCAAGACGAGAGGUUAGUUUGCAAUUUAUAGAACUCAAUAAAGUAAUUUGGUGUAGUGAAUAGUGCAACACCAAAUUUGGUGUAAUACUAUUGAUAUGGUGGCCCCAAACCUAUUUUGGAUUUAAGUUUAGAGUACCAUUAGAGAGAUUUUGGUACACCAAAAUGAGAUUUGGUGUAUAUUGAAGUGUCCCACAUUGGAUUGGAGAUAGUGACAUGAGCCACUUUAUAUGGUGAGGCAACCCUCUCCCUUAUAAGGCCUUUUAAGGGAGGAAUGAGCCCAAUAUCCAUUUCUAACAUGGUAUCAGAGUCAACCCAAUCCAAUGAUGGCCCCCCAAUAUCGUUGUCAACAGAUGACGUUUGGGAUAGUCCACGCUGCGCGUGCGGGGGGUGUAUAGUGGCAUGAGCCACUUUAUAUGGUGAGACAAACUUUGAUAUACCAACCAACUUCAUCUCUUCCACCUUACACCACUCAUCCAACAAAUACUCGCACUAUAAAGUUCACAAAAGAAAUGUAUCCAUCAAGGUUUUACACUUAAGCUCAUACAAGUUCAUCUUUUAUCGUCUUAUUCUUUUAGCAUGAGCUCAGUAUCCAUUAUUUCAUCUCAUUCUGAAACUUCCAACUACACCACACAAAGAAAAACACAUACGCAUACAUUCAUCUCACUAUAUGAACUUUGUAACUCUUAUUUAAUAAGUUGUUAAUGAUUUACAAAUGAGAACGAAUAGACUUGAGUUUCGAACUUGUGUGUGUCUAUGUUGUGGGAGAGGGUCUGGCUGCAAGUGGCAGCGACGAUUCAUCGCUGUCGGUCCGUCCGUCUGAGGAAGGGCAGAGACGACGUCAGCGGUGGCUACUGCUGCCUUCUGACUUUAAAGCAAGAAAAGGAGGGAGAGAGAAAUGAGGGGGAAAUUUGAAAGCUGGAAUCGGCGGCGGUGUCUUGGGCUGCCGUCCGACUGAGCGAAGGGAAGAGGGAGACUGGGGACCUAAGGCUCAGUGGCGGAAGCCUUCUGGCCGUGCGUUCGCCGAAAAUCGAAGGGGGAUAGGAAGUGAAGUGUAGAAUUGGGGCCCGGCGGCUCUGCUGCCGUUCCGACCAGAACGGGAGAGAGGAGAUGCAAGGGUAGACAGGGAGGCGGCAGUCGCGGCCUUGCUGCGAUCGUCGGAGAUGAGGGAGGAGCCGGCGGUGUUUUAGAGUGGCGUCGUGGGGGUGAGGUUUGGGCGAGAGAUAACAAAGAGACGAGGGGAGCGGCGCUCAGGCGCGGCUUCGUCGGAGAGGGAAUCGCAUCGACGAAGCCCUAGCUGAUCGAUUUCAGCGAAGAGGAAGAGAGAUGGGUGAGCGAGCAUGAGUCUGAUUUUCAAAGAGAAAGAUUAGCGUAGGUUUUGGAAGAAAAGGAGAAAACGGAAAAUGGUUGCUUGUUGGGACCUUGCUUUUUUCUUUGGAACACCAUUUGUGCGAAGUAUGAUGAACACGAUAUAUUUAAAUAAAUAAAUAUAAAUAUUAAUAAAAUUAAAAUAUAAAUUUUUAAUUUUGUAUAAAGCGUAAUGAUAAUUAUUUUUAUUAAAUAAAUUUAAAAAUUAAUUUGUGAUAAAAUAUUGUAUUAUACAUUAUUAUUAUAAAGUAAUACGUAUCAUAAUAAAUAAAUAUUUUCAUAUAAAAAUAUAAAUAAAGAGUUACUCUGUAAAAUUAUAAUGAAAAAAAAAAUAUUUUAAAAUUUUCAUAAUUUAUUCAUUUUAAAUUUAUUUUUAAUUAUUUUUAUACUAUAUUAAAUUUAAUUUCUAUAUUGAAUAUUUUUUUAUGAAUCAAAUUUGACAAUAUGUAGAAAAGAAUUAAAAUAUAAAAAAAAACAAAAAUAAAAAAUUAGAGAAAAAAUUGGUGGAAUAAGAGACAGAGAAAAAAGUGGGAAAAUUGGAGGGAAAAAACUCCUCUUUUAUACUCCCUCCAUCCCGUUAAUCAUGUCCCAUUUCUUUUCGGCACGGGUAUUAAGGAGAGUUGUAUUAGGAAAAAAGUUGUAUGGCCCACAUAUGUUAAUUAAGUUUAAGAAUGGUUAACAGUCUCCUCUUCAAUUUGUUGCUACCGCCGGUGGCACGCCGCCAAAACAGUGAACAUUGUUGCUAUCAUCGGUGGAAGGGGCAGCAAAUUUUUCUUCAACAAAAUUUCUGCAAAUUUUUGGAAAACUUUCAGCAAAUUUCAACAAUGAAUGACCUACUCACCUCAUUUGUUGAGUUAACUACAACAUCCACCUCAAGAUUCCACGGGUUGCCACGAUCCAUGGGAAACUUAGAUGCCAUUCCAUUUCCACUAUUUUCUCCAUCAGAUGUUGUGGUCAAUGGGUCUGGAAAAUGCACGAAUGCAAAAUUCACCCAACUACAAAACAAAAUCAAGAGCACAAAGCAGAAAUAGCCACAUUAAUUAUAUGUAUCAAAUACAUACAAUAAACCCUAGAACGCAGACAUACUCCAUAACUUGCAACGAAGAGCAAAGCUAAGAAAAAUUCAGCACCAUUUUCACAUUUUGAGGUGGAUGAAUAGUCCCCGUUAUAUAGAUUAAGCCUACUUUUAUAGAUUUGGGCCUGCUUUAAUAAGAUGCGUGAAUAGUCCUUAUUUUACUCUUUAUAGCCAUUAUCUAAAAUAAUAAUUUAAAUUUUCCCCUGUAUUUAAAUAUGGAGACUAUAAAAAGUAAAAUAAGGGUUAUGAAUAGAAUCACCCUAAUAAGACUUGGUUGCAUUUGUUUAAUUAAAGAAGCGCCUUUAAUUAAUUUAUUUUAAUUGAAUCUUUACAGAUUUAAUUAACUUGGCUAAGUGGUGUAAUUGUCUAAUUAAUUAAUUAGACUCUUAAUUUGGUUUAAAUAAUAAUUCGAAGAAUGAUUGCAUAAUAACGAUUAUUAUUAUGAUGAGCAUAUAUUAAGCGUAAUUACUUAUUAUAUGAGUUGAUCGUGAAAUAAAUUUGCAUUAUAUAUUUUACAAAUAAAAAUUAACGCUUAUGAUUUAAAUUGGUUUUCAUAAAUCCAAUUAUAUAAAAGUCGAGGAAGGAUAUUAUUGGUGUCCUUAGCCAAGAAUUUUGGUUUUCAAUAUAUAUACAUUAAAUUUUGAAAACCCGGUGUGAUGAAUCAUGAAUGUUUAGCAUACCCACCAAGGCAUACGGUUAGCAUCACAAGACCUAUUAAGAAUAAAUUUCUUGAGGUUUUGUGGACUAAGAGGAUUAGCGAUGUUUUUCCAAGACAAGUUUCUAUGAUUAUAUUAUUCAGACUUUGCCUAACCACGUGGGCUUACUCUACAAAAGUAAUAUUGGGUUAUAUAUUGAGUUAUAUAUACUCUAAAUGUUCAAUGAAAUACAAAUUGUUUAUCUAAUAAAAUAUUUUGUGCACUCUGUUCUAUUUAAAGCUCGCAACAAUGAAUCAUUCGAGGUUCUCUUAUGACCUAACACGUUGUCUGAGAAUUAUGUAUACUCGUUAGUUAACUCUGUGGGUUGAUCUCCAUCGGGCACUAACUAAGAGGUGUUAUAAGGGUGCUCGACAAGAUGUGUUCCGUAGCGUCCCGUGGUCAAUUUAAAUUUUUCUGUGUUACGCCCUCAGUUCAAGUAUCAGGGGAGUAAGAGAUUCGUCGGUGGCUAAAAGGUCUGGGAUCACAACGAGUAACGUAAUUGAGUGUGACAAUUGCGCCAAAUAAAAUAAAAUGAUUUUGCAUGCUUAGAAGAACUUUUAUUUAAAACCUUCUAAGUCAUGUGUUUAAAUGAUUGGAGAAACUAUCUUUACGAAAAUAUGAAAUGUUUUAGGAACAUUUACGUAUCUUUAAUGAAAUUGAAGAUAGAAUUACCUGUAUAGACAUGGGGAAUUAAGGGUGAGCAUCGGUUCGGUUCAGUGCAAAACUGAACCAAAAACCUAAAAUUGAAAACCGAACCGAUGCUCAAAUUGGGCACCGAACCGCACCAAUCAUAGUCCCAAAAUCGAACUAGAAAAACCGUCGGUUUCGGUUCGGUUCACCGAACCAACCACGAUUUGGGCUGCCACCACAAAUUGGGUUGCCGGAAACUGUUCAAUGCCGUCGCCGCUGGGUUAGGCGCAGGCAGAUGGACGCGACGCUGGAGGACUGCGGACGCCAGAAGAUGGGCGCGCCGCUGGAGGUCGAAAGAGCCGAAGAGGGACACGAUGCUGGAGGCAGGGAGAGACGCGCCUAGCGGACGGUGAUGGGCGGACGGUGCCUGGUGGACGGCGCCGCUGGAGGCCGGAAGUCAAAGCAAAGACAAAUCUGCUCAAGUUACUAAGCAUCCACCACCUCAAUUUCUUCACGUUCCUUCUUUCAGAAAUUAAUUCAUUUAUUCAAUUAUACUAUGUAAUCCAAAUUAAUUAAUAUUACAGAGGAUGAGAGUGGCAAGCAUCAAGCAGGAAGACGAAUAUGUAUAAUAAAGCAUCCAAUUAAAUUCAUGGAAAUGAGAAACACAGACGGUGCCUGGUGGACGGCACCGCUGGAGGCCGGAAGAGCCGAAGAGGCGAAGGCGAUGGGCGGACGGCGCCGGUAGGGAGGAGGAAGACGUGCGAAAUGGAGGAGGAGGAGAAUUGAGAAUUCUGAUUUCUGAAAUCAGUGAUGCGGCGCAGCAGAUGUUAGGAAUAGGAUUUAGGGUUUUUUCUUUACAAAGUUAAAUAUCUAUUGUAAAAUAUAAAUAUUUAAUAUAAUAUUAAUAUUAGUCGGUUCGGUUCGGUGCAAAACCGAACCAAAAACACAGCACCGAAACCGAACCAAAAAUUUUCGGUUUUCAUCUUUAGGAACCGAACCGAACCGACCACCAGUAGAAUUAGCACCAAACCGCACCAACAGGGUUCGGUUCGGUUCGGUUUUGACUGUCCGUUCGGUUUUUGCUCACCCCUAUGGGGAAUGAUGAGAAUGGUGAAUUUUACCAAAGGUCUUUCAGUAUCGCGUGCGAGCUUCCUAGAUGGUGGGAUUCGCUAGUUGAUCGUACAAGCUCCACGGGUUCCCGCACACGUCCUGCUCAAGGCAUCCCGAAUGAUCCUUAAGAACUUUUCGGUAUGCUAACCUUAGGUCAUCCUGGUACUUUUGCAUGGAUGUCCUUUAUUACGUCUAUAUCAUUUAAGAGGUUAUUUAUUACGUCCUUAAGUAUUCCAUGGUUUUCCCUAUAGAUAUUUUUUUCUCGAAGGGAUCCUGUCGAAUUGGAGGCCAAUGGCAGGAUUCUUGGGAUGGUCAACAUAUUUCAUGUGGUCAACUUCGUAGAAUAGUUAUUAGUCCGCAUCAAUUAUCAAUUAUAAUGAAUAAAAUAAAAAUUAUGUACUCCCUCCGUCCCAAAAUAACUUCAUCCUUUUUCAUUUUGGGACGUCCCCCAAAUAACUUCCUCUUUCUUUGUUUCCAUUUUUGGACAACUAUCCACCACUAAUAAUACUUUAUUUAUUCUUACUUUUCAUUUUUUCACCACUCCCAAUACUAAUUAUAACACAUUUUCACAACUUUCAAUAAUAAUUAUAACAUUUUUUCUUCACUAUCAAUACACUGUACAACUUUUCCUUAAAACCCGCGUCGUCCCCAAAAAGGAAGCUAUUUAUGGGACGGAGGGAGUAUAAAAUUACUCAUUAUUUUCAUGAUUCAUAUCCACAUGCAAAGUUCAAAGCGGGAAUUCAGCUCUAUUCAUAAGGACACACCUUAAUUAGCUAUAUGCAUAAUUAGCUAUAUAUAUGUGUGUGUUAUGUACUAAAGAUUAACAAUCAUUAUUUUUCGCUUAAUUUUCUGUUUGAACACAAACAACAUCACGAACGAUAACGUCAUUAAUGUAAGUUGGGGGUGGACCAAAAUACCAAAAAAUCGGUAUACCGUACUUAUCGUAUUGAAAAAAUAUCGAAAAUAUCGGAUUUUUGGUAUAUUGUAAAUUUCGGUACGACAUGGUACCGUACUGAAAAAUUUUGGUACGAUAACGGUAUCAAUUUUUCUCAUACCGCAGUAUACCGUUAUAUACCGAUACCGCGGUAUAUACCGGAAACGGUAUAUACCAAUUAAUAAAGUAUAUACCGAAACAUAUAAUUGAAAUAAAUUAUAUAUAAAAAAUCAUAAUUAUUAAAGAAUUAACGACAACUUACAAAAUAUAAAUUCAUUAAUAAUUUUGAUAAUUUAGACAUAAAACAACAUACCAAUAAUUUUGGUAUACUGUAAAAUUAUGGUAUACCGAAUUUUGGUACGGUAUACCGCUCUAUCGGUACGAUAUCAACAUAAAAAAGUUCAUAUCGAAAUUUUCGGUAUACCGAUCUUCGAUAUACCGAAGAGUUUGGUACGACAACGAUAUGAAAAAUCUCAUAAGGCAAUUUACAGUACGGUAUACGGUAUGACAAAAAAAAUUNGUUAUAUACCGAUACCGCGGUAUAUAUCGGAAAACGGUAUAUACCAAUUAUAUAUUUCGAUAUAUACCGAACCGGCAUUACCGUAUCGAUUGUAAUAAAUUAAUAUAUAGUAUAUAUAUAAUUAAUAGAUAAUUAAUAUAUAUAUAUAUAUAUUAUAAUUAUUAAAGAAUUAAUGACAACUUAUAAAAUAUAUAUUCAUUAAUAAUUUUGAUAAUUAGAUAUGAAACGACAUACCAAUAAUUUUGGUAUACUAUUAGUAAGAUAUCGGCAUGAAAAAGUUUAUAUCGAAUUUUUUGGUAUACUGAUCUUCGAUAUACCGAAGAGUUUGGUACGACAACGGUAUGAAAAAUCUCAUACCGCAAUUUACGAUACGGUAUGCAGUAUAACAAAAAAAAUUCGACAUAACCAGUCCACCCCUAAGUUGGGUUUCUCUUACCUUUUUCUUUCUUUUAACAUACUUAAGAAAAUAUUAUAUUGUUAAAUUUGAUUAUAUUUGUUUGUCUUUUAUUCUUCAUUUUUUUGGGUUAGUAACUUAGCAUCCAUAAUUUAGAUUCAAAAAGUUCACGAUUUUUAUAUUUUAUUAGAUAUUAAAUACUCCUUUUGUCCCAUGAAUCUUAACACGUUUGGUUUCGGCACGAGAAUUAAGAAGUUGUAGAUUAGUGUUUUAAGUGUGUAGUUAAUAAAGUAUAAAAGUGAUAAAGUAAGAUAGAGAAGGUAAUAAAAGUGAUAAAGUAGAAAAUAAAAUAUAAUAAUUAUUAUAUUAUUUACAAAUGUGUCAAGAUUCGUGGGACGAUCUAAAAAGGAAAACGUGUCAAGAUUCGUGGGACGUGGGAGUAUUGUAUUGAUUGACAUAGUAAAAUGAAGCAACUAGGGGCUUACUUUUAAAUUCUUGUUAAAGCCCCGUAGUAGGGGUGUGCAAACCCAACCCGGACCCGCCGAACCCGCCCGGACCGACGGGUUCGGUCCGGACCGAACCGGCCCACUACAGGUGUUUGGUCCGGGUUGGGUCCUAUUUUGUGGACCGAAACUUUUUCGGGUCGGUCCGAGUCGAACCCGGUCAAAACCCGGCGAACCCGAAACCGACCCGUGCCAUUUUAAAUUUAAUAUUUAAUAUUUAUAUUUAAUAAUUAAUAUUUAUAGUAUUAAUAAGUUAUACUUUUGCUAACCCUAAAAAACUAUUUUUCUGCUGCAACUGCUCUCGGUCUCACACUCUAGCGCCGCUGACCCAUCAUCCACCCUCAAUCUAACCCUAACCCGCCGCCCCGCCAACCGGACCGCCGCGCCCAUGCCCUCACGCCCAGCACCAGCAGGCAGCAGCCAGCAGGCCAGCACCGCUGCGGCGCUGCGACUUGCGGUCUCCCCGCUGCGCGCCCACGCCCAGACCGGACCGACACCUCGGCCUCACUCAAAGCCGCCGCCCCGCUGCCCCGCCUACUGGUCCGACCACGCCUCGGUAAGUUUCGAAUCCCAUGCUCAAUGUUAAAUGUUGAAUGUUGAAUGUUUGUUGUUACUUUAUGGAAGCUGCGGCGCUGCGACUUGUUAAAUGUUAAAUGUUGAAUAUUGAAUGUUGAAUGUUUGUUGUUAGUUUAUGGAAGCUGCUGAAUGCGCUGUUGUUGCUGCUGUUGCUUUAUGGAAAAAAAAUAUUGAAUGCUUUUGUUGCUUUAUGGAAAAAAAUAUUGAAUGUCGAAUAUUGAAUAUUGAAAGUUGCUGAAUCCUAUGUUGAAUGCUGCUGUUGGCAUGUUGCUUUAUGGAAAAAAAUAUUGAAUGUUGUUACUUCAUAAAUAUUAUGCUGUUGUUGCUGCUUCUUAACCGAAGUUACCGAACUGAACUGCUGCUGUAAAUUAAUUGGAUAUUUUUGUUACUUGUAGGUGAUAAGAUGUCGAGAACAGCAACUAAUGUGCCGGUAGAAGCACAAGGUGAAGCUAUUACUCCUCCACCCGAUGACGAGGAUGUUGCAUCAAAAGAAACAAGAACCGGGAAAAAAACUUCUGUGGUUUGGCAGCACUUCACCCGAUAUACGGAUGAAAAUGGAGCAGAAAGGGCUCAUUGCAACUACUGCAAGGCAGAUUACUGUGCAAAUACCUCAAAAAACGGUACGUCUGCUAUGAUGAAACACUUUAGAAAGUGCAAAAAAAAAGCCUCAAGGAAUUGGUCCUAGACAACAACAUUUAUCUUUGCACCCAAUUGUUGAGGGGGAUGAUGAUACUGUUGGUGAGCUUGUGAGUUGGAAAUUUGAUCAAGAAUUGUGUAGGAGAAAGUUAAUUGAGAUGAUAAUUAAGGAUGAAUUGACAUUUUAAGCUAGUUGAAGGUAAAGGGUUUAAGGAAUUUGUAGGACUUUGACAGCCUAAGUUUAAGCUUAUCUCUAGGUGGACAAUCUCAAGGGAUUGUUUUCAGUUAUAUCUUGAUGAAAAACUUAAGCUGCGUAAUUUUUUCGUUGAAAGUGGUCAAAGUGUUUGUAUUACUACAGACACUUGGACCUCUAUUCAACGAUUGAAUUACAUGUGUAUUACUGCUCACUUUAUUGAUAAAGAGUGGAAGUUGAACAAGAGGAUAAUCAAUUUUUGCACAAUAGAGAGGCAUAGGGGUGAGGAUUUGGGUAGGCAACUUGAUGCUUGUUUGCGUGAUUGGGGGAUUGCUAGGGUUUUUGCUGUGGCUGUUGAUAAUGCUUCAUCAAAUGAUACUUGCAUGAGUUUUUUGAAAAACAAGUUAUCUGCGAGGGGUUGUUGUCUAUUGAGGGGUAAAUUCCUACAUAUGCGAUGUGUUGCUCAUAUAAUUGCUUUGGUGGUUUUGGAUGGGUUGAAAGAAAUUGGCAUUUCUGUGAAGAGGAUUAGAGAGGCGGUGAGGUAUGUUAGGCAAUCUCCCUUAAGGUUGGUCAAGUUUAGGGAAUGUUGUGUUGAAGAGAACAUCUCCACUAAGAGUCUUUUAUGCCUAGAUACACCUACUAGAUGGAACUCAACUUAUCUAAUGUUGAGUGUGGCUUGCAAGUUUGAGAAGGCAUUUGAGGCUUAUAGUGUGAAAGAUCCCUAUUUGGCAUCGAUCUUGCUCAUCAUGAUGGUGCUCCAUUGGGUAUUCCAUUGGGUGAGGAUUGGGUUAAUGGGAAGAACAAUGUCUGAGUCUUCUCCUUGCUUUCUAUGAGUUGAUAGUUAGAGUCUCGGGCACAAAUUAUAUUACAUGUAAUGCAUUUGUGCAUGAGAUUACUUUUGUUAGUACUAUGUUGAAUGAUUGGAUGCUAAGUGAUGAUGAAGUAGUCAAAUCCAUGGGUGCUAGAAUGAGAAAGAAGUAUGAUAAGUAUUGGGGAGAUCCGUAUAAAUGAAUCACAUAAUUUUCUCGAGUGUGAUUGUUGAUCCAAGGUACAAGUUUGAAUUUCUUGAUUAUGUACUAGUUCAAGAGUGGGGUGAAGUGCUUGGAAAGAAAGUGGGCAAAGAGGUUUUGGCUAGCUUGCAUGAGUUGUAUGAUGCAUACAAAGAAUUCAUCAACCUGCAACUACCGCAGCCACACAAUCUCAAUCUUCAAAGCAAAAAUGAAUCAUCUCAAAGCUCAAAGAACGAGUCAUGCUUGAGAGAUUCAAAAGGCAAAAGGUUCAAGUUGGAUCAAUCUCUACAAUUGAUGAGUUGGAUGUCUAUUGCAAUGAGCUUGUUGUGUCUACAGAUGAUGAGAGCUUUGAUAUUUUGAUGUGGUGGAAGAUUAACCAACACCGCUUUCCGGUUCUUUGUCAUCUAGCUCGAGAUUUGUUGGCUGUCCCAAUCUCUACAGUGGCCUCGGAAUCGGCUUUUAGCACCGGAGGAAGAGUUCUUGAUCCUUUUAGGAGUUCUUUAUCCGCUACAAUUGUCGAGUCCCUCUUAUGCACUCAAGAUUGGCUAAGAAAGGCAAAAGAAGGAUCAUGAUUGAAGAAACAAUUGAAGACAUACAAAAACAUAGAAGAAGGUAACAUUUUAAAGUAUAUUUCAUAAUUAUAUAUGUAUUACUUAUGUUAUUAGAUGUUUAUUAAUUUUAUAAUUUUAAAUCUUAUUAUGUAGGUUUGAAGAACCUCUCCAUCAAUGGAAGUGAGGAGGGGAGUGUGAGUCAAACUCAAUGGAUGAGUUCUCAAACUCAACAAAGUCAAGUGCAAAUGAUGGAUAGCACUAGCAAUGCAAGUUAGGAUUAGAUUGAAGAUUUCUCAUUUUUUUAUGAACUUCAAUGCUUGGACAUGUAAUAGUUUGAUUGUUAUUUAUGUUUUGUUUUUUGUGAUUGUGGAUUGCUUUAAUUUGAGACUAUGAUAUGUGUUUUGGUAUCAUAUUUUUAAUGUUUUAGAUCUGAAAAAUAGGUGAAAAAUAGGAAAAACAAAAAACAAAAAAAAAAACAGGUUUUUAGCGGGUUCGGCCCGGACCGAACCGGACCCGUUGCUCGGGUUCGGUCCGGUCCCGGGUCGGCCCACUCUCUACUUUCGGUCCGGGUCGGUCCCCUUUUUAAAAAAAUUCGGGUCUACAAACCCGGCGGGUCGGUCCGGGUCGGUCCGGGUCCGACCCUCUGCACACCCCUACCCCGUAGGACACAGAUACGACCCCACAUAAGAAAAGGUGAUUGUAUUCGCUUAUUAAAAAGAAAAUCUAUUUUUCUAAUAAAAAAGGUGAGUCUCUAAAAAACCCAAUUUAGCUUUUAACAUUCUUCACCAGUGCAGAUGAACAAUACAUUAUCGAGUCAACAGAAAUACCACGCCGCCCCAAAGUAAUACUUCCCACCCUUCUAGAAUUGACAAAGAGCAAUAAAUUAACAUACUCUUUAUCAUAAAUUUAUUUAAUUAUUGUUGAUUACAAUUUGCAAUAUCUCCAACAUUUGACAAUGAGGCAAAAUAGAUCACUUUUUUUUUAGAACGUGCAAAUAGAACACUUUUAAACAUAUAUGUCACGAGUUGCAUAUGAACUCAACGUUUGACUUUCAAGCUAAUUAUAUUUUCUAUAUCUAUAAUUUAAGAUUCUUCAUGAGCAUGAUUUAUGAUGUUCUAGAUUACGGCAUAUAUCAUGCUUCCCCAUUUAUAUUUCAGCUAGCAGGCCGAUAAGUAAACGCUGUUUUAUAAUUUGAAGCCCAAUAAUACGCAUAUUUAAUCCAAUCGGUGUUUUAAUUAUUGAAAAUAAAUAAUAUGAGUACGAAAAUGUGAGUUUUCCCUGAACAUGGAUUACGAAAUACAAUAAUGAUUAAUGCGCUUACAUACUAGAAACCUAUGUCCUGAAUCCCUACUUGCUAAAACUCUAUUAUAAUGUGUAUAAUAAUAACUAAAUAUUAAUUAUUGAAAGCUUUAUUAAUUAAAAAUAGCAUUUAAAGUAUCUAGUAGUAUACGUCCUUUCCACAAUAAGUUAUAAGUNAGUAUAUUUGCCUCCUGAACAGCGGGAGGUGGGGCCUCAGUGCCCUGCAGGUUGGCUGCUCCCACUGGGGUAGUCGCAGUAGGGAUGACGGACAUCAUGGGGGUUCCCAAUGCCUGCCGCAUGUUAGCAUAGCUGAGCAAGGCCAUCAUUUGCUCUGCUAGCCCAAAGUUGAUCGAUCCUCCUCCAGACGCGGGAGCCAGAUUCGGCAGAUCAGAACCCGGUGUGACCAAAGCAAACCUCUGUGCGCUGACAUUCAGCCCUGUUGUCGGCGUGGCUGAGAUAGCCUGGAAUCCCGGUGGCACUGUGAAAGUAGGAUUGCCCUGAAGGCCAGUGAACAACGAGGUGGGCACCUCAGUAGUGACAGCAGCGGAGUCAAACUCCUUCUCCAAGUUCCGGUGAGCAUCAGAGGAUCCCAUGGUACCUGCAUGUAAAUAGAGUGAGAGAAAAAUCCCAACGACGAAAGCAUAAAUCCCCCAUUUACGGAUUGAAGUCCCGAUAUAAGAAAUCCAAUAAGAAAUCCCCGAUACCGGUACAGAGACCGUUAAUAAAUUCCCUCAAGGUGACGCUUAUGCACUGGGAAAUAAACCCAGGUCAUAAAUCUAAAGAACAGAACCCGCGUAAAGGAGUUUUUCCCAGGUGAAACCUCAUUAAGAACCGACGAAAAAACAGAGCACCAAGAAAACCAAAACAACCAUCAAAAGGCUUGUCAGCGCAAUUCGUUAGAAAUGAUAGAUAAACAAGAGUUAUGUAAGGAAACGAACAUCAUAACCCAAAAUUAACAUGAUCAUGUCCUAUAAUAAUAACAAAGCCCAUAAACAACAGGAUUACCGCGGCAAUCAACCAAAUUAGUAGCAUAAGGCAGUAUUUAAUGCAUAAGACGAGAGUUAAUCUAAGCAAGCAUGAAGGACAUUAACAAUUAUCCACCCCUCAGUAGCUCAAAACUCCAUUAUAACAACAACAAAGCACUAAUCGACGUAUUAAUCGGUGCUAAACUCGUGAAUUAACAACGAAAAGGUUCAUGAAAAAAGAGACAAAGUGCUAAACAAUCUUUCAUCAGUGCGAAACUCCUAAUUAACAACCAAACCUCGCAUCCUCCCAAAAACAGAGUAAUACUCAACAGCCCACAAGCAUAAUUCUGAGAUUAUCGGAGAAAACAUGAAGAUCCUCCACAACUAUCACGUUUAUACGUAAAACACCCGUAUACUAAUAGCAUAAACUCAAGAUAUCAGAGACACAAGGUCAAUCCGCCGUUCAUCGAUGCAAAACACUAGAUCCGUAAGAAAAAAGCACCCGACAUAAUCAAAACAGAGCCUCACGCCACAAUUUUCCCAUAUAAAACAUUAGAUCAGUGAAGAAAACAUCAAUUCUACAAGGAAACCCUUCGUCCGUAAACAAUUAACCCAAACAAACGGUGAAUAAACGUAGAAUUCCCCGAUUCAUAAUUUGUACCCGUCGCCACCUUUUCCCAUGCACCAAAAACAUAAAUCAACGCAAAUCACAGCAGAUUAUCAGUAUAUUAAACCAGAAGAUGCAAUUAACCGAUUAAAAACAGCUGGGUGUCCGAAUUAUCGGCUCGAUUGGUGCCAACGCCCGCAAAUCCGAUUGGAAUUUCAGAUCUGCGUACGCCGGCGACCGUGAUCUCACGUCCUAGCCCAGUAACCUUCCCACAGACGGCGCCAGUUGGUGUUUUAUGAAACCAACACCUAAAACUACAAAGUGAAAUCAUAAACUAUACCUAGUGCGAUUGACUGAAGAAGACGAAAAAUGAACGAUCGAAAACUUUGCACUCAAGAGAAAUAGCUGUUCUGCUCAAAAGUAUAAGAUAGCGUAAAUGUAAUACACGAAUUGAGGUCUAUUUAUAGAUUACAAUUGAGGGUAAAAAGGUAAAAUCGAUGCUAGUGCAUGCGUUUGACGUGAUUGAAGGGUAUAUCAGGAAUUUCAUCUUCACGCGGGAAAAUCCUCCGCGUCUUUGGCGAUCCUUCUGAAAGAGGCGAUCUCUCUGGCACGGAUGACUUCCCUGGCGUGGAGGACUUCUCUGACGUGGAUGACUUCUCUGACGUGGAUGACUUCUCUGGCGUGGAGGACUUCUCUGGCGAUGGUGACUUCUCUGAUGGGGAUGACUUCUCUGAUAAGGGUGACAUCUCUGAUGGAAUUGACUUCUCUGGUGAGUGUAUCUCUUCUGCCAUAUUCGUCCCGCCAGUGAGGUCGAUUCCUCUGAUUUGUAUUCUUUCCCUACUCUGCACAUAUUACUCCUCAUCACAUAUAUACUGAUGAACAUGGCCGUAUAUACUGAUGAACAAUGCAGUAUAUACUGAUGAAUAACAAAAUUUAAAAUAUUCUGCUCCCUCCAGGAUUCGAAUCCUGCGAAAAAAAAUCACCAUCCAGAUACAAUAUCAGCCAUAGGAUUGAUAAAAUAAACGCACCAGAUUGUGCCUUAGAUCUCACUAAAAUUAAGGGUAGGUACUAAUUAGGUAGGACGGCCCCCUAUAUAUAUAUAUAUAUAUAGAUUCAAUUCAAACUCAUUACUCCAAAAUCUAAUCGUUGUUGACUUUUAUUUGAGUCAGUGCUUAAUAGACUUGCUAAUUUUUAAUUUUAGUCUCCAGCAGAGGUAAUCUAAAAUUCUAAAUUAUGUCCCGUGGUUUAUGAGUUUGUGAUUUGUAUUUUGUGUACUAAAAAAAAGUUGGUCCUAACUACAAAGUCUACAAUCUCCCGUUUGGUCUCCUUUUCAGCGGUAAUUUCGUGUUUGUGGCCACCACAAUCCACAAUAUUCACCGAAUGCAAUUUUUUACGAAUUUUCACGAUUAUAUAGUCCAAACUAUUCUUUAAUUUGGGACAACAUCCACACCUUCUUAAUAUAAUCAAAACGAACAUGACAAGUAGAUCUCACCAAACAAUUGCCGUUAAAUCUCUCCUAUCUUCUUAUUAAAUUCUCACCAUCAUAACUCCUAAACUUAAUUUUUUGCAGGUAAUCAAAUAAUAAUCAUUUCUCGAAUCAAACUUGGUAUUUCAAAUAUGCCUUAAAUAUUACCUGAACUCUGAUUUUGUUAACCCGAAAACAUAUGCAAUACAUUCCUUUUAUCCUCUAUCAUGAUAAUUUUUAGUGUAAGGUUUUAAUAGAAUUUCACAAUUAAUUUUACAGUAUGGAAUAUAGGGGUGAACAAAACAUUUGAAAUUUGAAUAUUUCAUUCAAACUAAAUCAAAAUUUUAAAUUCAGUUAGAUUCUUUUCUAAUUUUAAAUAGAUUCUGAACAAAUUGAGUUUGAUAUUAUUGAAUCGGUCUGAUUUUGUAUAUUUUGAAAAAAAAUUCAAAAUUCUUCGACUCAGAUUGAAUUUAAAUCAUAAAAGUUUUGAAUUUAGAUUUUUGAAUUAUAUAAUUCGAAUCAAAUUCAUUUUCCUCCAAAAUUCAAAUUUGUAGAUCGAUUCGAAUUAAGCAAAAGUAGAGGUGAGCAUCGGUUCGGUUCGGUGCAAAACCGAACCAAAAACUCAAAACCGAAAACCGAACCGAUGGUUAAAAUUGGAACCGAACCGAAACCGAACCGAUAAAACCAUCGAUUUUGGUUCGGUUCACCGAACCGAAUGAUGCAAUUUUUUUUAUUUUAUUUUUUUCAAAAAUACCAAUUAAAAAUUAUAAAAUAAUGUAAAAUACAUAAAUUUCAAAUGUCAAAUCCCCACGACAUGAACAUGAUAAAUAAUUAUAUAUUAUAAUUGUGAAUUAGGGUUUUAGUUUUAGGUUAAAAAAUUAGAAAAAUAAUUAUAUAUUAUAAAAUAAUUAUAUAUAAUAAAAUAUUAAUAUGUAUCGGUUCGGUUCGGUUUAAAACCGAACCAAAAAAUGGAAACCGACACCAAAUCGAAAAAUUUCGAUUUUUACUUUUCAAAAUCGAAUCAAAAACCAAACCAAUAGAAUUGGGACCAAAUCGCACCAAUCCAGUUCGAUUCGAUUCGGUUUUCAGUAUCGGUUCGAUUUCUGCUCACUCCUGAGCAAAAGAAGCGAAAUCCGAAUGCUGAAGACUAACGGAAUAUACCUAGCAUCAUUAUUGGUAGUAUUUGAGAGCAGCGGUUUGUUAGGUGGCUCAAGCAAAAGUAAAACCGCCUUGUAACGUGGGCCUACCCUUUUUCCCAUUUGUUGUUUUUGACCCUCUCACCAACCAACUGGCGCUUCACUAAUCUUGAUCUUCUAAUGCAAUUUCACUAUCCCCUUCGAUUUACUCUUAAUUACACAAAUUACCAUAAUUACAAAACUGCCCUUCAUCAAUAAAAUAAUGAGAAUAAAGCUAACGAACACGUCGGUGUCCACUUGAUUUUGGAAAGCUAGCGUUUAUUAUCCUAUUUUUGUGUUCCAUCAAAAAAUGUAUCCUAUUUUGUGCCAAUUGUUUAAGAUAGAGAACGAGAAUAUAACUCCACAGCAUCAGAAAAAGGACGCAAUAUCUUGUCUUUGUGAAAAAUAAAAAUAGAAUAUUUGAGUGAUGUAGAUUUGCUAAAAAAUGAACCUGAUAUCCCACUUUUUGCAAAUUUAGUUGAUGGGCUUCAAUUGUUUUAUCUGUGUUCUUUUGUUGUAGAUAAGUUAUAUUUACUCUUUCAAUAUAAACAAAUACUUGCUCUGUCCACGAUAUAAUUUAAAAUAUGUGGACGACACGAGUUUUAAGAAAUGUAUGGAGUAUAGUGUGAAUAGUUUAAGGGUCCCACUUUUUGAGUGUAUUAAUUAAAGAGAUGUGUGGGGUACACUUACCAAAAAGGGAAAUGGGUACUCAUUUUGUGGACGGACGAAAAAGGAAAUAUGGGUACUCAUUUCGUGGACGGAGGGAGUAUAAAACUUGAUAUGUCCCCGAUAUAAUUUAAAAUAUAUCAUAGUAUUGUUUUAUAUGACGAGUUUAAUCAAGUCGAGAAAAUAAUAUAAAAUGAGUUUAAUACAUACAAGGGCCCUCUCAAAAAACAAAAAACAUACAAUGGCAUUAUUGAAUAAGUAAUUUAAUACGUGUAAUACAAUGACAUUUUAUUUUACUUGAUCAAUUUUUUUUAAGGUCGUCCUCUUCCCAUUCGACUUUAUAUAUAUAUUUUUAAUAAUAAAUUUCAUUGUAAUCUAUAUGAGCCAACAUACUUUACACUAUUAAAUAAUCGUGUCAAAUAUAAUUAGGUCAAUUGAGAUGGAACGAAAAAAGUACUCCCUCCGUCCCCAAAAUAAGUUCCUCUUUGGGGACGGCACGGAUUUUAAGAAAAAAUGGUAAAGUGUAUUGAUAGUGGAGAAAAAUAUGUUAUAAUUAGUAUUGGGAGUGGUGAAAAGGUGAAAAAGUGUUAUAAUUAGUAUUGAGAGUGGUGAAAUAGUGAAAAGUAAGAAUAAAUAAAGUAUUAUUAGUGGUGGGGUAGUUGCCAAAAAUGGAAAGAAAGAAAGAGGAACUUAUUUGGGAGACGUCCCAAAAAGGAAAAAGAUGAACUUAUUUCAGGGACGGAGGGAGUAUAACAUUUGAAUCAGUACACAACGAUAAAAUAAUUUCAAUUUAUUAUAGUAAUUUUCAUUUAAUUUUUUCGAUCUUAGAUUUUAUAGGUAAUUAGGAUAUCAGGUGACAAUUUUUUGUAACAUCUGCAAGCUAAAGUCGGUUUAUUGCAAAAAAUUGUGAGCCUAAAUCUCAGUAAAAUUAAGUAAAAGUAAAAUAUAUUCCCUUCUUAAAAAAAUCUAUGAAAAAUGAGGAUAUUUCAUUAAUCACUCUAGGCCCAAAAAUAUAAGAGGGUUAAAAUAGUCAAAUUAAAUGAGUUUGCUUGGAGGAGGGGUCGAAGAUGUGGGCGAAAUUAUCGAUGAAUCAAUACCCCCUCCCCCAUGUUAUAAAAUCCCUACCCCCACCCCUUUCUACACAUCUUCCACCAAAGUCUCAUUUCUGUCUGCGUUUUUCAUUUCUUCCCUUUUUCUUCACUUAAUACAUUGAAGCUGCAACCAUGACUGCCUACCGCGGAAAGUACGCUGGUAAGAUUUCCGGUCUAUUAAGCUUCUUUUGCUCUUUUUCUAACCGUAGUUUUAGUUUAUAUUAGUGGAUCUAGGAUAAUUAUGCUAAUUUGAUAUGUUUUAUUUUGUUGAUUCAUCAGAUCUGAAAUCCUGCGCUUUAUUAAGCCUACUUUUCUGAAUUCUAUCAGUAAAUCUGAUAGUAUACUGUUCUGUUUAGUCUGGUGUAGUGGUUUGUUAUAGUUAACUUUUAAUCAUGUGUAGUUUAUACCGAGUAUGACUUCUAUGGUGUGAAGUGGAUUUAAGUGUAUAUCGUCUAUUUCUUAGUCUGAUUGGUAAGAUAUUGCUUUGAUUGUUGUUCAUAGUUGAUUUAUAGUUUUUUUUAUUUACUAAACCGUGCUUUAUACUAGUGUUUAUUCAGCGAUCCAAAGCGUUAUAGACAAAAAGUUGUCAGAUUCUUUUGAGUAUUUGUUCUUUAGAUGAAGUUGCUGUUGAUCUCUUAUUUAUUUUGUUUUCUCGUUGCCUUAUACUCUUAAUUCUUCGAUCCGAAGUUUUUGUGUAGACAUUUUUUUAUCAACGUUUAUUAUCUUUCUUAUUAAACAUGCUGUUUCGUUAUUUGUACUUUGAUCUGUUUAUGGUGUUGGUUUUAUGUUAAUAUCUUUGAAAUUACGCUGCUAAAUUUGGGUAUGUUCAUUCGUGCUGGUUUUGAUCGCAGUUGAUCUUUUGGAUCUGUCAUAGGAAUCUUGUAGGCUUGAAUAGUAAUCAAUUUAUUCUGUUGUGAGUAUAUAUCCGCAAUGUCGUACUUCAUGUUAUGGCUUGAUUUUAUGUUUUGUUUGGAGAUAUUUUGCUGGUUUGUAUAUUCCUCUCCUGCAUUGUUUAAAUGAUGUUUGAUUUACAGAUGAGCUUAUUGCCAAUGCUUCAUACAUUGGUACCCCUGGGAAGGGUAUUCUUGCUGCUGAUGAAUCAACUGGAACAAUUGGCAAGCGUUUAUCGAGCAUCAAUGUUGAGAACAUUGAGGCUAACAGGAGGGCUCUACGUGAACUUCUUUUCUGCGCUCCUGGUGCCCUUCAAUACCUGAGUGGUGUGAUCCUUUUUGAGGAAACUCUGUACCAGAAAACUGCUGCAGGUAUGCAUCAUUUUUUAAAUUGUAAUUGUAAUUGUAACUAUGUUUGAAUUACUCUUUUGCCUUUUGAAGAUAAUUGAUCUUAUAUUUAUGUUUGUGGUCUUGUAGGCAAGCCUUUUGUAGAUGUAUUGAAUGAGGGCGGUGUUCUUCCUGGUAUCAAGGUCGACAAGGGUACCGUUGAGCUUGCUGGAACCAAUGGUGAGACUACCACCCAAGGUCUUGAUGGCCUGGCCCAGCGUUGCCAACAAUACUAUGCUGCUGGUGCUCGUUUUGCUAAAUGGAGAGCUGUGCUGAAGAUUGGUGCCAAUGAGCCAUCACAGCUUGCUAUCAACGACAAUGCCAAUGGUCUGGCACGUUAUGCCAUCAUCUGCCAGGAGAAUGGCUUGGUACCAAUUGUUGAGCCCGAGAUCCUUGUGGAUGGCUCCCACGACAUCAACAAGUGUGCUGAGGUGACAGAGCGUGUUCUUGCUGCUUGCUACAAGGCCCUCAACGACCACCACGUACUGUUGGAGGGAACAUUGUUGAAGCCCAACAUGGUCACACCCGGCUCUGAUGCUCCCAAGGUUACCCCCGAGGUGGUUGCCGAGUACACCGUCCGUGCCUUGCAACGAACAAUGCCCCCUGCAGUCCCGGCUGUUGUCUUUUUGUCUGGUGGACAGAGUGAGGAAGAGGCCACCCGCAACCUCAACGCCAUGAACAAGCUGAAGGCAAAGAAGCCAUGGACCCUCUCUUUCUCGUUCGGACGUGCUCUACAGCAGAGCACCCUAAAGGCAUGGGCCGGCAAAGAGGAGAACGUCGGAAAGGCUCAGGCUGCAUUGCUUACAAGGUGCAAGGCCAACUCAGAAGCAACACUCGGAACCUACAAGGGUGACAGCGCUUUGGGCGAGGGUGCCGAUGAGAGCCUCCACGUUAAGGACUACAAGUACUAGGUUCAGUUUUUUGGCUUCCCUUAGAUUUUCUCGG